rnacentral:rRNA from 1 species
AAGUCCCGUAACGAGCGCAACCCUUGUCCUCAGUUACCAGCGGUUCGGCCGGGAACUCUGGGGAGACUGCCGGUGACAAACCGGAGGAAGGUGGGGAUGACGUCAAGUCAUCAUGGCCCUUAUGGGCAGGGCUACACACGUGCUACAAUGGGCGGUACAAAGGGCAGCCAACCCGCGAGGGGGAGCCAAUCCCAUAAAACACUUCGUAGUCCGGAUCGCAGUCUGCAAUUCGACUGCGUGAAGUCGGAAUCGCUAGUAAUCGCGAAUCAGAAUGUCGCGGUGAAUACGUUCCCGGGCCUU